rnacentral:rRNA from 1 species
ACGGAAGGCAGCAGUGGGGAAUCUUGCGCAAUGGGCGAAAGCCUGACGCAGCGACACCGCGUGGGGGACGAAGGCCUUUCAGGUCGUAAACCCCUUUCGGCAGGGACGAAGCGACACCGUGACGGUACCUGCAGAAGAAGCCUCGGCUAACUACGUGCCAGCAGCCGCGGUAACACGUAGGAGGCGAGCGUUGUCCGGAAUCAUUGGGCGUAAAGAGCGCGCAGGCGGCUUGGCAAGUCGGGUGUGAAAUCCCGGGGCUCAACCCCGUGACUGCAUUCGAUACUGUCAGGCUAGAGGUAGGUAGGGGAGAUCGGAAUUCCUGGUGUAGCGGUGAAAUGCGCAGAUAUCAGGAGGAACACCGGUGGCGAAGGCGGAUCUCUGGGCCUUACCUGACGCUCAGGCGCGAAAGCUAGGGGAGCGAACAGGAUUAGAUACCCUGGUA